CCUACGGGAGGCUGCAGUCGAGAAUCAUUCACAAUGGGGGAAACCCUGAUGGUGCGACGCCGCGUGGGGGAAUGAAGGUCUUCGGAUUGUAAACUCCUGUCAUGUGGGAGCAAAUUAAAAAGAUAGUACCACAUGAGGAAGAGACGGCUAAUUCUGUGCCAGCAGCCGCGGUAAUACAGAGGUCUCAAGCGUUGUUCGGAGUCACUGGGCGGAAAGGGUGCGUAGGAUGUUUCGUAAGUCGUGUGUGAAAGGCGCGGGCUCAACCCGCGGACGGCACAUGGAACUGGGAGACUAGAGUAAUGGAGGGGGAAGCGGAAUUCGCGGUGUAGCAGUGAAAUGCGUAGAUAUCGAGAGGAACACUCGUGGCGAAGGCAGGUUCCUGGACAUUAACUGACGCUGAGGCACGAAGGCCAGGGGAGCGAAAGGGAUUAGAUACCCCAGUAGUC
rnacentral:rRNA from 1 species